rnacentral:rRNA from 1 species
AGAGUUUGAUCAUGGCUCAGAACGAACGCUGGCGGCGCGUUUUAAGCAUGCAAGUCGGACGGCAAGCACUGUAGCAAUAUGGUGCCGAGAGUGGCGAACGGGUGAGUAACACGUAGGUGAUCUACCUCUGGAUGGGGGAUAGCCCGUGGAAACACGGGGUAAUACCGCAUGAGGCCUUGAGGGUAAAGCCUUGAGGUGAAAGGUGCAAUUGCACCGUCUGGGGAUGAGCCUGCGGUCCAUUAGUUAGUUGGCGGGGUAAAGGCCCACCAAGACUCCGAUGGAUAGCCGGCCUGAGAGGGUGUACGGCCACACUGGAACUGAGACACGGUCCAGACUCCUACGGGAGGCAGCAGCUAAGAAUCUUCCGCAAUGGGGGAAACCCUGACGGAGCGACGCCGCGUGGAUGAUGAAGGCCGUAAGGUUGUAAAAUCCUUUUGUCGGUGAAGAAUAAGGGGGGGAGUGGAAAGCCUCUCUGAUGACGUUAGCCGACGAAUAAGCCCCGGCUAAUUACGUGCCAGCAGCCGCGGUAAUACGUAUGGGGCAAGCGUUGUUCGGAGUUAUUGGGCGUAAAGGGCGUGUAGGCGGCUCAUGAAGUCUGGUGUGAAAUCGACAGGCUCAACCUGUCAUAUGCGCUGGAAACUGGUGGGCUUGAGUUCUUGAGGGGAAGCUGGAAUUCCAGGUGUAGGGGUGAAAUCUGUAGAUAUCUGGAAGAACACCGGUGGCGAAGGCGAGCUUCUAUCAGAGGACUGACGCUGAGGCGCGAAAGCGUGGGGAGCAAACAGGAUUAGAUACCCUGGUAGUCCACGCUGUAAACGAUGUGCACUAGGCGU